rnacentral:rRNA from 1 species
UACAGAGGUCCCAAGCGUUGUUCGGAUUCACUGGGCGUAAAGGGUGCGUAGGUGGUUGGGCAAGUCUGAUGUGAAAUCUCCGGGCUUAACCCGGAAAUGGCAUUGGAAACUGCCUGGCUAGAGUGUUGGAGGGGGGACUGGAAUUCUCGGUGUAGCAGUGAAAUGCGUAGAUAUCGAGAGGAACACCAGUGGCGAAGGCGAGUCCCUGGACAACGACUGACACUGGAGGCACGAAAGCUAGGGGAGCAAACAGG